GCUGAGGUGGCGGAAUAGGCAUACGCACACGUUUGAGGGGCGUGUCCUAUAUAAAAAGAAAGGAUGCGGGUUCGAUUCCCGCCCUCAGCA
rnacentral:tRNA from 1 species